rnacentral:lncRNA from 13 species
CUGCCUUAGGUUCCCUGCCUCCAGAUCCUAUUCUCCUGCCUCAGUUCUAUUUAAAUGUGUAAUGAGAAAAGCUGGGGAGUGGAGACAUAGAAGCUAACUGCUUUGCAACCUAAGGAGCAAGUUAUUUGGGUAGUGAGCUCAACAUGUUGAUGAGGUCUUUGCAGCAGCAUUAACCAUCUGGACUGUGAAGGAAUUGAUCCAAUUUG